rnacentral:rRNA from 1 species
UACGUAGGGUGCAAGCGUUAAUCGGAAUUACUGGGCGUAAAGCGUGCGCAGGCGGUUUUGUAAGUCUGUCGUGAAAGCCCCGGGCUCAACCUGGGAAUUGCGAUGGAGACUGCAAGGCUUGAAUCUGGCAGAGGGGGUAGAAUUCCACGUGUAGCAGUGAAAUGCGUAGAGAUGUGGAGGAACACCGAUGGCGAAGGCAGCCCCUGGGUCAAGAUUGACGCUCGAUGCACGAAAGCGUGGGGAGCAAACAGG